GUGGAGCGCAGUUCAUAGUCAGGA
rnacentral:misc_RNA from 1 species